GACGAACGCUGGCGGCGUGCUUAACACAUGCAAGUCGAACGGAAAGGCCCUGCUUUUGUGGGGUGCUCGAGUGGCGAACGGGUGAGUAACACGUGAGUAACCUGCCCUUGACUUUGGGAUAACUUCAGGAAACUGGGGCUAAUACCGGAUAGGAGCUCCUGCUGCAUGGUGGGGGUUGGAAAGUUUCGGCGGUUGGGGAUGGACUCGCGGCUUAUCAGCUUGUUGGUGGGGUAGUGGCUUACCAAGGCUUUGACGGGUAGCCGGCCUGAGAGGGUGGCCGGCCACAUUGGGACUGAGAUACGGCCCAGACUCCUACGGGAGGCAGCAGUGGGGAAUAUUGCACAAUGGGUGGAAGCCUGAUGCAGCAACGCCGCGUGCGGGAUGACGGCCUUCGGGUUGUAAACCGCUUUCGCCUGUGACGAAGCGUGAGUGACGGUAAUGGGUAAAGAAGCACCGGCUAACUACGUG
rnacentral:rRNA from 1 species